ACCUGUUUUGGUUUACCCCUACUGUAACUCCUGAAAUGUGAAACCUAGAUAAAAGUUACUGCUGGGUUUUCUUGUUCAAAGAAGAGAAGAGAUUCUGUUCAUCUGUAGACAGUUAAUGCAUCCUCUUGACUUCUCAGGGUGUCUUUUCUCAAGGCUUGCUGUUACUCAUUUCAACACCCGAUUUUAUUUUAACGGUAAAGAGCUCAACAGUUAUCUUAGUUGAAAUUUUGUUUUGUUUUUGACAAAUGAAAACAAAUGAAUUGCUUUGUUUUUUCACAAAUGAAUUAUCACAUCAAAUGCAAUGAAGAUCCCAAGCUCUGGCAUCAGACUUGAUUCAAAUCCUGGUUCUAGGGCCUGGGUCAAGUAACUAGACUUUUCUGUUCCUUCAAUUCCUCAUCUAUGAAAUGAAGAUAAUCAAGACCUACCUCUUAAUAUAGCGGUGGAUCGAAUGUGCUAUGAUGAUGGAGGGCCUCUUUAUCUGGUAAUGCCUACUCAUCCCUCAGAGCUCAUCCCAAGUAUGCCCUCUCUGAGGAGGUCUUCCCUGACACUCCUGGACAAGGAUUUCUCACUGUGAGAGAAGUGAGCCACCAGAUAGAGAGGACACUCAAACAGCCCCAUGCAGAGGCCAAUAUAGAAAGGAUAAAAUAGCCAGCAUCAACUUACCGGCUUUGUAAGAGAGCCUUUAUAACUGAAUCCACUGCCCCGGUCAAGCCUUCAGAUGACUGCAGCUCUAGCCUACAUCUGGCUGCAAUCUCAGGUGUUCAGAUCAAGGGAAACUACUCUAAGAGGCUACACUUGAGGAACAACAACCAAGGAGCUUCAACUGCAUCUGGAUUUCAGGAGUCUGGAAAACUUUUC
rnacentral:lncRNA from 1 species